rnacentral:rRNA from 1 species
UGGGGAAUAUUGGACAAUGGGGGAAACCCUGAUCCAGCAAUGCCACGUGAGUGAAGAAGGCCUUAGGGUUGUAAAGCUCUUUCGCCCGCGAAGAUAAUGACGGUAGCGGGAGAAGAAGCCCCGGCUAACUCCGUGCCAGCAGCCGCGGUAAUACGGAGGGGGCUAGCGUUGUUCGGAAUUACUGGGCGUAAAGCGUACGUAGGCGGAUGCGCAAGUUGGGGGUGAAAUCCCGGGGCUUAACCUCGGAAUUGCCCUCAAAACUGCACGUCUUGAGACCGAGAGAGGUAAGGGGAAUUCCUAGUGUAGAGGUGAAAUUCGUAGAUAUUAGGAAGAACACCAGUGGCGAAGGCGCCUUACUGGCUCGGUACUGACGCUGAGGUACGAAAGCGUGGGUAGCAAACA